AGAACGCUGGCGGCAGGCCUAAUACAUGCAAGUCGAACUGCUCUUCGGAGCAGUGGCGGACGGGUGAGUAACGCGUGGGAAUCUGCCCUUUGGUACGGAACAAAACAGGGAAACUUGUGCUAAUACCGUAUGUGCCCUUAGGGGGAAAGAUUUAGCGGCAUUGGAGCAGCCCGCGUGGGAUUAGGUGGUUGGUGGGGUAACGGCUCACCAAGCCCACGAUCCAUAGCUGGUCUGAGUGGAUGACCAGCCACACUGGGACUGAGACACGGCCUAGACUCCUGCGGGAGGCAGCAGUAGGGAGUCUUGCGCAAUGGACGAAAGCCUGCCGCAGCCAUGCGGCGUGUAUGAGGAAGGUCUUAGGAUUGUAAAAUACUUUCGCCGGGGAGGAUAAUGACGGUACCCGGAGAAGAAGCCCCGGCUAACUUCGUGCCAGCCGCCGCCGUAACAC
rnacentral:rRNA from 1 species